UGCAUCCCUGCAAUAAAUCCAAUUUACAGUAUAUCAUCCCCAUUCUGAUUGGCUUACAGAUAACUGUAGGAAAGAUGAUGUCCCUAUAAAACUAGAACUAGCAGGGCCCUGCCCUAGAAACAAACCUCAAGCAUGGGCCAGAAGUAGCAAUAAAAUAUAUACAAAUACUUACUCAAGGGUGGGGAGAUGUAAGUGUGGUUUACUAUUGAGGCUGUAACUAUCCCCCUUUUACUGAUAUUGCUCAUACACCAGGACCCUGCUGGGCUCUAUAUACUCAUGGGGUCCCCUUGCAGGCUCUGGGUCUGCUGUUGCUAUUGUUAAUUGAUCAAUAUAUCAAGACAGAGAGAUAUAGGUUGGUGUUUACAGUUCAACACCAACUGCAAUUACUAAUGUAAACGCAAAAGUAUCAUCCGUUAUACUGUUACUCAGCAGCCCCGGGGGGUGACUGUUACCUGUAUUUUGCUUGUUCUCUGCAGAUACAGAGCGAGCGUUGGCAUUACUGGAGGAAUAUCGCAGGAAAUUACGAAAACCGCAGGAACGGCAGCUCAGACUGGCCAUUGAGAAGGUGAUCCGUCUCUUUAAGAGUAAUCUGUUCAAAGCCUUGAUAGACAUACAAGAAUGCUAUGAGGUAACACUGCUAAAUGCCCACAAAAACUAUGAAGAAAAAGUAGCUGAACUGAACCAUAUAGCAGAGUUAUGGGAGAAGAAUAACUCAUCAUCUACUGGCCCGGAGAGCUUACAAAGAGCCUCAGAGCUUGAGGCUCUCAAUGGCUCCAAUGGAUAUACAACAAGCGAUGAGCCGAAUACGGACAAUCACUCCUUGGAUACAACUGCUGUUAAC